rnacentral:rRNA from 1 species
GAGUGAACGCUGGCGGUAGGCCUAACCCAUGCAAGUCGAACGGCAGCACAGUAAGAGCUUGCUCUUACGGGUGGCGAGUGGCGGACGGGUGAGGAAUACAUCGGAAUCUACUUUUUCGUGGGGGAUAACGUAGGGAAACUUACGCUAAUACCGCAUACGACCUACGGGUGAAAGCAGGGGAUCUUCGGACCUUGCGCGAUUGAAUGAGCCGAUGUCGGAUUAGCUAGUUGGCGGGGUAAAGGCCCACCAAGGCGACGAUCCGUAGCUGGUCUGAGAGGAUGAUCAGCCACACUGGAACUGAGACACGGUCCAGACUCCUACGGGAGGCAGCAGUGGGGAAUAUUGGACAAUGGGCGCAAGCCUGAUCCAGCCAUACCGCGUGGGUGAAGAAGGCCUUCGGGUUGUAAAGCCCUUUUGUUGGGAAAGAAAAGCAGCAGGUUAAGACCCGCUGUUCUGACGGUACCCAAAGAAUAAGCACCGGCUAACUUCGUG